AUAAUGCACAUUCGUUAUAAUGAGGGAUAUAUGCCUUUCAUGUAAUUAUUCAGUCUUGUUCAUCACAGCUCCAGUCUGAACAUCAGCAGUGCUCCAUUUUCAGUGAAUCAGAUAAAGAGCAGCAGCCCUUGUCAGGACAUGGGCCAACAAAGUUGGACACCGAACCAACCAUCCAAAAUGACAUUGACACUUUGCUGGAGGAGGCUGGCCCACCACCACCUCUGCUGUCUCAAGAGAAGAGUUUGUCGGUUGAAGUCUCAGAAACCCUGACACUACAAUCACUCUGGAAAAGAAAUGACACCGAAGUGGUAGUUGCUGUAAUACCAUCUGUCAACCGGGCAGGUUGCAGUUUCCUGAUACAUCACAGUGAACUGUGUUCACUGCGACCUCACGAGUGGCUGACAGGCGAGGUAGUUGAUCAUUUAAAUGUUACCAACAAUACAAGCAUAUAUGAUGUUAUAUUAUAUGACAUAUUUUAUUUUUAGUUUUAAAACAAGGAACUUUCAUUACACUUGCAUAGUACUUGUGUGUUUCAAUUGUUAUUUGAUCAGCUGUAUAUCCU
rnacentral:lncRNA from 1 species